UACACUCCUACGGGAGGCAGCAGUGGGGAAUAUUGGACAAUGGGCGCAAGCCUGAUCCAGCCAUGCCGCGUGAGUGAUGAAGGCCCUAGGGUUGUAAAGCUCUUUCACCGGUGAAGAUAAUGACGGUAACCGGAGAAGAAGCCCCGGCUAACUUCGUGCCAGCAGCCGCGGUAAUACGAAGGGGGCUAGCGUUGUUCGGAUUUACUGGGCGUAAAGCGCACGUAGGCGGACUAUUAAGUCAGGGGUGAAAUCCCGGGGCUCAACCCCGGAACUGCCUUUGAUACUGGUAGUCUUGAGUUCGAGAGAGGUGAGUGGAAUUCCGAGUGUAGAGGUGAAAUUCGUAGAUAUUCGGAGGAACACCAGUGGCGAAGGCGGCUCACUGGCUCGAUACUGACGCUGAGGUGCGAAAGCGUGGGGAGCAAACAGGAUUAGAAACCCCGGUAGUCCCA
rnacentral:rRNA from 1 species